UACAGAGGGUGCGAGCGUUAAUCGGAAUUACUGGGCGUAAAGCGCACGUAGGCGGCUUGGUAUGUCGGGUGUGAAAUCCCCGGGCUCAACCUGGGAACUGCAUCCGAAACUGCCUUGCUCGAGUAUGGGAGAGGGAAGUGGAAUUUCCGGUGUAGCGGUGAAAUGCGUAGAUAUCGGAAGGAACAUCAGUGGCGAAGGCGGCUCACUGGCCCGGUACUGACGCUGAGGUGCGAAAGCGUGGGGAGCAAACAGG
rnacentral:rRNA from 1 species